CCUACGGGCGGCAGCAGUGAGGAAUAUUGGUCAAUGGACGCAAGUCUGAACCAGCCAUGCCGCGUGCAGGAAGACGGCUCUAUGAGUUGUAAACUGCUUUUGUACGGGGAUAAACGCAGAUACGCGUAUCUGUCUGAAAGUAUCGUACGAAUAAGGAUCGGCUAACUCCGUGCCAGCAGCCGCGGUAAUACGGAGGAUUCAAGCGUUAUCCGGAUUUAUUGGGUUUAAAGGGUGCGUAGGCGGUCGGAUAAGUUAGUGGUGAAAGCCCGAGGCUCAACUUCGGAAUUGCAGUUGAUACUGUCAGGCUAGAGAGUAGUAGCGGUAGGCGGAAUGUAUGGUGUAGCGGUGAAAUGCUUAGAGAUCAUACAGAACACCGAUUGCGAAGGCAGCUUUCCA
rnacentral:rRNA from 1 species